rnacentral:lncRNA from 1 species
UUUGAGCUAGUCUUGAUGGCACUUCAAACUGCGACCAACAUACUUGGUCCUUUUGGUCAUUUCCAACUCUACCAUUGCUUUUUAUAUUAGAAUAAUGAGAAUCGUUUUAUAUCGUGCUCUAAUAUUUUUGCUGUCUGCUUUCUAGUUAAUCUCAGGACAGAGGACAACUCAUGGAUGGUGGUGAAUUCACUUACAGAAGUUAGGCCUCUCCAUAAAUUUGGAACACACCAUUCCAGCAUAUCUCCUCUAGCCAGAAGCCUCUCUCCAUAGGCUGAGUGAUUCUAGUUUCCCUUGUCAGUCACCAGAAUCACCACAGCUCUGUCACACUCUUCAGUGAAGCAUGUAGGAGAUGGAGAGGCUUCCUUGAGUCCGCAGAAAGGAACUGACAUGUGGAACUAAUAAUCAGGUGAGUUUAAAAGACGCGUCUGCAGCAACAUUUUGCUAUGAAUCUGGUUGUCAGAGGUACGGGAUCAGAUUAAAGUCUGGGAGAAAUAUGGGUAAUGAUUAAUAAAAAAAUAA